rnacentral:lncRNA from 1 species
GCUGGUGCGUACCGUCCCGAACCCUAGGAGCCGAGAUCCCACCCGCAGGACCCCAAAACCCAAUGAUCCUGCAGCAGCCCUUGCAGCGAGGCCCCCAGGGAGGGGCCCAGCGCCUCCCGCGGGCCGCCUUGGGGGUGACUUGGGGCCUGGACGCCAGCUCCCCUCUCCGAGGAGCUGUGCCCAUGAGCACCAAGCGGCGCCUGGAGGAGGAGCAGUGAGUUUGGGGGCAGGGAGGGACUCCCAACAAGAUCUCUGUCACCUCUGGUCCCCAACAGGCUGCCUCCUGUGUCAGUAUCCCAGCCUGCCUCUCUGCCAUCUCUCCCCAGGGAGCCUCUGCGCAAGCAGUUUCUGUCUGAGGAGAACAUGGCCACCCACUUCUCUCAACUCAGCCUGCACAAUGACCACCCCUACUGCAGCCCCCCCAUGACCUUCUCCCCAGCCCUGCCCCCACUCAGGAGCCCUUGCUCUGAGCUGCUUCUCUGGCGCUAUCCUGGCAGCCUCAUCCCUGAGGCCCUCCGUCUGCUGAGGCUGGGGGACACCCCCAGUCCCCCCUACCCUGCAACCCCAGCUGGGGACAUAAUGGAGCUCUGAGUGCUGGUGGACAGUGCCCCUCCCACCUUCCUUCUUCCCCACAACAGAAGAGACCAGCGACUCCCGCAAAGGGACAAGGUUCCUCCCUCUCCUGCAGAGUAGGCAUCUGGGCACCAAGACCUUCCCUCAACAGAGGACACUGAGCCCAACGGAGUUCUGGGAUGGGAGGGGUGGGAGCAUGGGAAGGGAGGCAUCCCACCCCCAAGAAGAACUGAAUAAAGAUUGCUGAGCAAAGGA